CUGGUUUGAGAGGACGACCAGCCACACUGGGACUGAGACNCGGNCCANACUCCUACGGGAGGCAGCNGNGGGGAAUUUUGGACAAUGGGGGAAACCCUGAUCCAGCCAUCCCGCGNGUGCGAUGAAGGCCUUCNGGUUGUAAAGCACUUUUGGCAGGAAAGAAACGUCAUGGGCUAAUACCCCGUGAAACUGACGGUACCUGCNGAAUAAGCACCGGCUAACUACNUGCCAGCAGCCGCGGUAAUACGNANGGNGCAANCGUUAAUCGGAAUUACUGGGCGUAAAGCGUGCGCAGGCGGUUCGGAAAGAAAGAUGUGAAAUCCCANAGCUUAACUUUGGAACUGCAUUUUUAACUACCGAGCUAGAGUGUGUCAGANGGAGGUGGAAUUCCGCGUGUANCGNUGAA
rnacentral:rRNA from 1 species